GGCGAACGGGUGAGUAACAUAUCGGAACGUACCGGGUAGCGGGGGAGUAACGUGAUCGAAAGAUCAGCUAAUACCGCAUACGUCUUGAGAGGGAAAGCAGGGACCUUCGGGCCUUGCGCUAUCCGAGCGGCCGAUAUCUGAUUAGCUGGUUGGCGGGGUAAAGGCCCACCAAGGCGACGAUCAGUAGCGGGUCUGAGGGGAUGAUCCGCCACACUGGGACUGAGACACGGCCCAGACUCCUACGGGAGGCAGCAGCC
rnacentral:rRNA from 1 species